GAUGAACGCUGGCGGCGUGCCUAACACAUGCAAGUCGAGCGGAAAGACGGUGAGAUUGUGCUUUUGCCGUUAGCGGGGGGCGGGUGGGUGACGAGUGGAUCACACACUUCUAUUUCGGGGAUGAUUACGGAAGACCGGAUACAAUAAUAGAGCAUAUAUUGUACCGGAUGGAGCAGUGGAGAAUGGCGGCUUUGGUGUCUGAAUUAGCUGGUUUCGGGCCGGAUUAGUUAGUUGGUAAGGUACCGGCUUACCAAGGCUACGAAGCGUAGCCGAGCUGAGAGGGUGAUCGGCCACACUGGAACUGAGACACGGUCCAGACUCCUACGGGAGGCAGCAGUGGGGAAUCUUCGGCAAUGGGCGAAAGCCUGACGCAGCAACGCCGCGUGAGUGAUGAAGGCCUUCGGAUCGUAAAGCCCUGUUAUUGGGGAAGAACAGCUGUGGAAUUAACUAUGGCCGUUUUGACGGUACCUAAUCAAUAAGCACCGGCUAACUACGUG
rnacentral:rRNA from 1 species